UACGUAGGGUGCGAGCGUUGUCCGGAAUUAUUGGGCGUAAAGAGCUUGUAGGCGGUUUGUCGCGUCUGCUGUGAAAAUCCGGGGCUCAACCCCGGACUUGCAGUGGGGUACGGGCAGACUAGAGUGUGGUAGGGGAGACUGGAAUUCCUGGUGUAGCGGUGAAUGCGCAGAUAUCAGGAGGAACACCGGAUGGCGAAGGCGGCAUCCUGGACCAACACUGACGCUGAUGAGCGAAAGCCAGGGGAGCAAACGGG
rnacentral:rRNA from 1 species